rnacentral:lncRNA from 1 species
UUUGUUUUACUUUGCAAUAAAUUUAAUACAGACUCCCUGAAGCAGAGAGGCAGAUGGACUAUAAACUCUGCAUUUUGAGCAGCCGUACUUACUAGGUUAGUGUGUGUUUUGAUCCCUGCUUAAAUUAUAUCUAUGAAAUUUGACAUGGAUUUGGGUCUGGGGUUUGCUGGCUUGUUGGGGCCUCUGGAGCUGUUCUUGGGGAAUUUACAAGGAUUGAUUUGAUUACCGGAGCUUUAAUUUCUCACAGAGGCUAACGAGGAGGCCGAGGAGCCUGGCUGGGCACUAUGGGAAGAUGGAAAAGCAAGAGAGUUGGGCUUCUAUGCGAUUCAGUGAUGACGUCAUUAGCACUGUAUCACACGCCUCCUGCAAGGUCUGAAGCCAGACCCCAUGGACCUAUGUGGGAUCCUUCUGCCUUCCUUGGAGGACAUGUAUGAGUAAAAGUCUUGGGGAACUUGGAGCCUAGGGGAGGAAAACUCAGAUACACGCACGUAGGGGUAGAUAUAACUAAAUAUUGAGAACAGCACAAAUUAACAUUUCAUAUGACUGUACAUUGGACUGAGUCGAUAGGACAAAGGGAAAGAAAUGUAACUGCCCCCUCCAGUGAGGGAAAAUGUAACUGCCUCCUCGUGCCUCACACCAACGUUUACAGUCUCCUCCUGUCUCUGCUUCCUCCACGGAUCACUGAAGAAAGACAGUGAGUGGAAGGAACCAGGAACAGUAUAACCUGGAUUCUUGGCUCAGCUUCACCGAUUCCUUCUUUGUACAAAUAUUUGGGCAACAUAUUAAGCUUGCCCGGCUUCAGCUUCUCUGGCUGCACAGCAGAAAUCACCUGGUUACCACGAGGAAGAUAAUGUUGAUACGGAUGUACAGGACUGGACUGUUAAAAGUGAGUCCUGGGCAGACCCUCCAUGUUCCAGCUAUGCAAUCACCACGAUUAGAGCCAGAAGGGCCUCCUCCAGAGGAGCACUGUGAGUGCAAUUCCUAGGCCCUGUCAGGGAGUAGGACAUUCCCUGGAUGAGUUGGGUCCACCAGUCUAACAGCGUGUGAUGGUCAUCUGUCUUUCUAGGCUCACCUGUUUGCACAACUUGCCUGAUAGCCAGAAGGAGAGGGUGGGCAUCUGGGAAGCUUCUAAAAGAAUCUAGAAGAUUCCAGGGAUUGCUCCAAAGAACUCUAAGGAGGUCUUGGAUUGAUGUGGCUGAAGGCAACAGUGCUAUAUAGACUUAGACACCUCCCCACACCCUCAUUCACAGAACCCAGGCAGAGCCACAACUGAGAGAGGAGAGGAAAAGAGAAGGACCUGCCUUCUGCCUCUCUCCUCUGUGCCUGUGUGCCCUCCCUUCAGGUCAGAGGCAUCAGG